GUGAUGUUGCAGCAGCAGCUGUGGAGGUGAACUGCGGACAAUUGGUGGAGCAGAAUCAGGCCCAGAGGUGGAAAGGGGAAGGACAGAGCAGCUUUCUCCUCCACAACAAGAUGAACAUUGCAGUGGGCAUACCAUGGAGCCAGACCACCAGCAGAGCAUUAAACAAGGACAGAUGUGAAUGCCAGGAUAAAAAUGAAGACAUUCCUGAAGUCGUGAUCCCUUGAAAACAAAUUCACAAGGAAGAAACAAGGGACCAGAGAAAGCCCAUUUCAAAAGCAUUCCUGUGCAGGUGGAGGGACAGUUCCAGCUCCUGCAGAAGUGCCAUUGCUGCUAUUUUCAGCAUCAGCCAAAGCUUAAUUUCUCCUCCGUGGCCAACAGUUCUGGCUCAGCAGUCAUCAGCAGUGUGGGUACAGCUCUGUUUCUCUCUCUCAGCUGGGACAUACCAGCCCAGCAGCUGCUGCCUGUGUCCUGCACCAGCCCUGGGCUUCCUCACCCAGCACUGCCCAAAGAUGCUCCCCACCACCUGCGGGCACCCCAAAAAAUAGUCAAGCAAAAUCCCUUUCUCUUGAAUUAACAGCAAUACUUCACCGAGCACCACAGGGAUGGAAAUGGCCCUUAUUGUGGCUUUUGGCUUUGCAGCCACUUCCAGUAGGCAGCACGGGUCCUCUGGCAGCAGAAGCCAGCUGAUAUACUAAACUACGCUAAAGUAGUGUUUAGAGAAAUAGUAAUUACUAACAUCCUCUCUCGGUCAAGCCGACACUAACCAGGCCUACUGCUAGGUGUGUGUAUAUACAUACUCCCACUCAACAGAUAAAUAGAUAUGUGCAUAUACCCCAGGAAAAAUACCUCUCAGUAAGGUGACAAGGUCUUACUUUAAAUCAAGUGCUUGACACUAAUAAAAACAAUGUAUUCGCCCAUAAGAUCUCACAUAUUGCCUGGGUACAAGGUAAGUCAAUAUUAAGCAAACCUUUAUUUUCUGUACCCUCUGUUGGUUUUUUCUGUAUCACAAGUAUUCUUUGCAUCUUUCUAGACAUUUGUAAACAGACCCCUAAAAUAUAAGCUUAUUAUAUUGUUUGCUUGAAAUGAAUAUAAUCAAAGGAAAUACAGUGGAAAUUUGGCAAGAAUUGCAUGCAUUUGCGUUCUGUGGUUUUCAAAUGGCCCAAAAUGCUGACAAUUUUACUUAAAGACGAUCUAUCAUUACUGCCUCCCUUCUCAUAAGGGAUUUUACUAUGCAAACUCUUUUGCCUGAUUUUUUUUAAAGAAUUACAGGUGGGAGGUAAAAUCUUCACAGGUAUCCACAUGACUUGGGGGGUAAUACCAAACUGAUUAGGAUGUCAAAGUACCUUUUGCAGAGAGGCAAAGGCUCAUUAAAUAUUUAGAUGUUUUGAAAAUUUCAUCUAAUGCUUUUACCCAACAAAUUUCCCUAUAAUUUUUGAAAGACUAUCAAUCAAAUCAGCAGCAAAUAAUUCACAAUCUCUUAAUAGUAGACAAAUCUAAUUUAUGAUAAAUGUUUGUGUAUAACAAAAUACCAUUUGAUGGUUUGAUGAAGUCAUCAAAGAGUAAUUAGGAAAAAAAUUCUUACUAGGCCAUCUUAUUGCCUACAGCUAUUUGUUGCUAUUCUUAUUAGUAGAGAAAUCAGGUACUGGCAGUUAACAUAAACAGUGCACAGACAAAAGUGUUGAUAGCUACCUUAGAGAUACCAUCAAUAGAAUUAUGUAUCUAAUAUGUUUCUGGCAGCAUUUAUUAGAUAUUGAUUUCUGUAGAGGAAAAACAGUGGAUGAUUUUACA